rnacentral:misc_RNA from 1 species
UUUCCGUAGGUGAACCUGCGGAAGGAUCAUUAAUGAGUCGUCAUGGGGUUCGAUGCUGGCAGCCAGUUUUUGGAUGCGUGUGCUUGCCCUAACAAUCAUCUUCUUCCAAACACCUGUGCACAUUUUUGAGGGAGUCUUGAGUUGGUUGCCGCUCUUGGGUGAUUUUCUCACAUUCCCUUAAAUCAUUAUACGCUAUUAACAAUGUUGAACGUGCUCUAUGCCGCAAGGCCAUUAAUAUAAUACAACUUUUAACAACGGAUCUCUUGGCUCUC